GAUGAACGCUAGCUACAGGCUUAACACAUGCAAGUCGAGGGGUAACGAGAGGAAAGCUUGCUUUCCUUGUCGACGACCGGCGCACGGGUGAGUAACGCGUAUCCAACCUGCCCCCAACUAGGGAAUAACCUUGCGAAAGUAAGACUAAUACCCUAUAAUUUCCUCAGAUGUCAUCUGACGAGGAAUAAAGAUUUAUUGGUUGUGGAUGGGGAUGCGUCUGAUUAGCUUGUUGGCGGGGUAACGGCCCACCAAGGCAACGAUCAGUAGGGGUUCUGAGAGGAAGGUCCCCCACAUUGGAACUGAGACACGGUCCAAACUCCUACGGGAGGCAGCAGUGAGGAAUAUUGGUCAAUGGGCGGAAGCCUGAACCAGCCAAGUAGCGUGCAGGAUGACGGCCCUAUGGGUUGUAAACUGCUUUUAUACAAGAAUAAAGUUAGCCACGUGUGGUUAUUUGUAGGUACUGUAUGAAUAAGGACCGGCUAAUUCCGUGCCAGCAGCCGCCGUAA
rnacentral:rRNA from 1 species